UUUUAUUAGGUUGAUGCAAAAGUAAUUGCGGUUUUGUUAUUACUUUCAAUGGCAAAAUUGGCAAUUACUUUUGCACCAACGCAAUACCU
rnacentral:miRNA from 1 species